rnacentral:rRNA from 1 species
AGUCACUGACAUUAGAUACCCCCGUAGUCCAGGGUGUAAACGCUGCAGACUUGGUGUUGGAAGCCCUUUGGGGGCAUUCAGUGCCGGAGAGAAGUUGUUAAGUCUGCUACUUGGGGAGUACGUCCGCAAGGAUGAAACUUAAGGAAUUGGCGGGGGAGCACCGCAACGGGAGGAGCGUGCGGUUUAAUUGGAUUCAACACCGUAAAACUCACCAGGGAAGACUGUUACAUGAAGGCCGAGAUGAAGACUCUGCUAGAUUUUCAG